AUGCUCAAAAUUCUCCAAGCCAGGCUUCGACAAUAUGUGAACCGUGAACUUCCUAAUGAUCAAGCUGGUUUUAGAAAAGGCAGAGGAACCAGAGAUCAAAUUGCCAACAUCUGCUGGAUCAUGGAAAAAGCAAGAGAGUUCCAGAAAAACAUCUAUUUCUGCUUUAUUGACUAUGCCAAAGCCUUUGACUGUGUGGAUCACAAUCAACUGUGGAAAAUUCUGAAAGAGAUGGGAAAGCCAGACCACCUGACCUGCCUCUUGAGAAAUCUGUAUGCAGGUCAGGAAGCAACAGUUAGAACUGCACAUGGAACAACAGACUGGUUCCAAAUAGGAAAAGGAGUACGUCAAGGCUGUAUAUUGUCACCCUGCUUAUUUAACUUCUAUGCAGAGUACAUCAUGAGAAACCCUGGGCUGGAAGAAACACAAGCUGGAAUCAAGAUUGUUGGGAGAAAUAUCAAUAACCUCAGAUAUGCAGAUGACACCACCCUUAUGGCAGAAAGUGAAGAGGAACUCAAAAGCCUCUUGAUGAAAGUGAAAGAGGAAAGUGAAAAAGUUGGCUUAAAGCUCAACAUUCAGAAAACGAAGAUCAUGGCAUCCGGUCCCAUCACUUCAUGGGAAAUAGAUGGGGAAACAGUAGAAACAGUGUCAGACUUCAUUUUUUUGGGCUCCAAAAUCACUGCAGAUGGUGACUGCAGCCAUGAAAUUAAAAGACACUUACUCCUGGGAAGAAAAGUUAUGACCAACCUAGAUAGUAUAUUCAAAAGCAGAGACAUUACUUUGCUGGCUAAGGUCUGUCUAGUCAAGGCUAUGGUUUUUCCUGUGGUCAUGUAUGGAUGUGAGAUUUGGACUGUGAAGAAGGCUGAGCGCCGAAGAAUUGAUGCUUUUGAACUGCGGUGUUGGAGAAGACUCUUGAGAGUCCUUUGGACUGCAAGGAGAUCCAACCAGUCCCUUCUGAAGGAGAUCAACCCUGGGAUUUCUUUGGAAGGAAUGAUGCUAAAGCUGAAACUCCAGUACUUUGGCCACCUCAUGCGAAGAGUUGACUCAUUGGAAAAGACUCUGAUGCUGGGAGGGAUUGGGGGCAGGAGGAGAAGGGGACGACAGAGGAUGAGAUGGCUGGAUGGCAUCACGGACUCGAUGGACGUGAGUCUGAGUGAACUCCGGGAGUUGGUGAUGGACAGGGAGGCCUGGCGUGCUGCGAUUCACGGGGUCGCAAAGAGUCGGACACAAUUGAGCGACUGA
rnacentral:lncRNA from 1 species